GGCUUAACACAUGCAAGUCGAACGCCCCGCAAGGGGAGUGGCAGACGGGUGAGUAACGCGUGGGAAUCUACCUAGUUCUACGGAACAACUGAGGGAAACUUCAGCUAAUACCGUAUACGCCCUACGGGGGAAAGAUUUAUCGGAAUUAGAUGAGCCCGCGUAAGAUUAGCUAGUUGGUGGGGUAAUGGCCUACCAAGGCGACGAUCUUUAGCUGGUCUGAGAGGAUGAUCAGCCACACUGGGACUGAGACACGGCCCAGACUCCUACGGGAGGCAGCAGUGGGGAAUAUUGGACAAUGGGCGCAAGCCUGAUCCAGCCAUGCCGCGUGAGUGAUGAAGGCCUUAGGGUUGUAAAGCUC
rnacentral:rRNA from 1 species